rnacentral:ncRNA from 1 species
AGCCUUUUCAUCAACCAUUACUUAUCUUACACAUGCAAGCAUCCACACACCCGUGAGAACGCCCUCCACCCCUGAUUAGGAAGAGGAGCCGGUAUCAGGCACUACACCAAGCCCAUGACACCUAGCCACGCCACACCCACAAGGGUAUCAGCAGUGAUAAACAUUGAUAAUAAGCGACAGCUUGAAUCAGUUAAAGUAAAGAGAGCCGGCAAAUUCGGUGCCAGCCGCCGCGGCUACACCGCUAGGCCCAAGUUGAUGACUAUCGGCGUUAAGCGUGAUUAAAGUAAUAUCAAGGAUUAGAGCUAAACUUUAACCAAGUUGUGACACGCUUGUUAUUAAGAAACCCAAUACGAAAGUUACUCUAACUAGUCCACUUGACACCACGACAGUUAAAACACAAACUGGGAUUAGGUACCCCACUAUGUUUAACCGUAAAACAUAAACUCACAUUAAAAUCGCCAGGGAAUUACGAGCCCAAGCUUAAAACCCAAAGGACUUGACGGUGUCCCACCCACCUAGAGGAGCCUGUUCUAUAAUCGAUUCUCCCCGAUAAACCUCACCACUUCUAGCUUCUCAGCCUGUAUACCUCCGUCGUAAGCUUACCAUGUGAACGAACCAAGUGAGCUUAAAGGUCCUUCCACCUAUACGUCAGGUCAAGGUGCAGCUUAUGAACUGGGAAGAAAUGGGCUACAAUUUCUACCAUAGAACAAACGAAAGACCACAUGAAAUGCGGUCAUGAAGGCGGAUUUAGUAGUAAAAAGAGAAUAGAGAGCUCUUUUUAAUAAGGCGCUGGGACGCGU